rnacentral:rRNA from 1 species
GACGAACGCUGGCGGCGUGCUUAACACAUGCAAGUCGAACGAAGAGCGAUGGAAGCUUGCUUCUAUCAAUCUUAGUGGCGAACGGGUGAGUGACGCGUAAUCAACCUGCCCUUCAGAGGGGGACAACAGUUGGAAACGACUGCUAAUACCGCAUACGAUCUAACCUCGGCAUCGAGGAUAGAUGAAAGGUGGCCUCUACAUGUAAGCUAUCACUGAAGGAGGGGAUUGCGUCUGAUUAGCUAGUUGGAGGGGUAACGGCCCACCAAGGCGAUGAUCAGUAGCCGGUCUGAGAGGAUGAACGGCCACAUUGGGACUGAGACACGGCCCAGACUCCUACGGGAGGCAGCAGUGGGGAAUCUUCCGCAAUGGACGAAAGUCUGACGGAGCAACGCCGCGUGAGUAAUGACGGCCUUCGGGUUGUAAAGCUCUGUUAAUCGGGACGAAAGGCCUUCUUGCGAAUAGUUAGAAGGAUGA